CGCUGGCGGCGUGCUUAACACAUGCAAGUCGAACGGGAUCCCUGGCGCUUGCGCCGGGGUGAGAGUGGCGAACGGGUGAGUAAUGCGUGACCAACCUGCCCCAUGCACCGGAAUAGCUCCUGGAAACGGGUGGUAAUGCCGGAUGCUCCAGAUGACCGCAUGGGAUUCUGGGAAAGCUUUUGCGGCAUGGGAUGGGGUCGCGUCCUAUCAGCUUGUUGGUGGGGUGAUGGCCCACCAAGGCUUCGACGGGUAGCCGGCCUGAGAGGGCGACCGGCCACAUUGGACCUGAGAUACGGCCCAGACUCCUACGGGAGGCAGCAGUGGGGAAUAUUGCGCAAUGGGCGAAAGCCUGACGCAGCGACGCCGCGUGCGGGAUGGAGGCCUUCGGGUUGUAAACCGCUUUUAUCGGGGAGCAAGCGAGAGUGAGUGUACCCGUUGAAUAAGCACCGGCUAACUACGUGCCAGCAGCCGCGG
rnacentral:rRNA from 2 species